GCAUGGCUGUCGUCAGCUCGUGUCGUGAGAUGUUGGGUUAAGUCCCGCAACGAGCGCAACCCUCAUCCUUAGUUACCAUCAGGUAAUGCUGGGGACUUUAAGGAAACUGCCAGUGAUAAACUGGAGGAAGGUGGGGAUGAUGUCAAGUCAUCAUGGCCCUUAUGGAGUGGGCUACACACGUGCUACAAUGGUGGCUACAAUGGGCUGCAAAGUCGCGAGGCUAAGCUAAUCCCUUAAAAGCCAUCUCAGUUCGGAUUGUACUCUGCAACUCGAGUGCAUGAAGUUGGAAUCGCUAGUAAUCGUGGAUCAGCACGCCACGGUGAAUACGUUCUCGGGUCUUGUACACACUGCCCGUCACGCCAUGGGAAU
rnacentral:rRNA from 1 species